GACGAACGCUGGCGGCGUGCUUAACACAUGCAAGUCGAACGGAAAGGCCCUGCUUUUGUUGGGUGCUCGAGUGGCGAACGGGUGAGUAACACGUGAGUAACCUGCCCUUGUCUUUGGGAUAACUUCAGGAAACUGGGGCUAAUACCGGAUAUGAGCUCCUGCUGCAUGGUGUGGGUUGGAAAGUUUCGGCGGUUGGGGAUGGACUCGCGGCUUAUCCGCUUGUUGGUGGGGUAGUGGCUUACCAAGGGUUUGACGGGUAGCCGGCCUGAGAGGGUGACCGGGCACAAUGGGACUGAGAGACGGACCAGACUCCUAAGGGAGGCAGUAGGGGGGAAUAUGGCACAAUGGGCGGAAGCCUGAUGCAGAAAUGCCGCGUGCGGGAUGACGGCCUUCGGGGUGUAAACAGAUUUCGAAUGUGACGAAGAGUGAGUGACGGUAAUGGGUAAAGAAGCACCGGCUAACUACGUG
rnacentral:rRNA from 1 species